AUUCACUCCCCAUGUUUCUUUUGUCGGUAUUGUCCCAUCUCUUCCAUAGAUAAUAACUUUUGAGUGGUGGUGAGUGGUAGGUUACUGAAUGAAUAAUGUACUUAUUGUAGUGUGGAGUGAGGCUGCAAUUGCAACGAUGAAAAACCUGCAAAGGACAAUGCAUGACAAGUGACUAGAGACGAGGACAACAGGUUGGUAUCAUAUCUCCACUCCAAGACUUCCCCUUCGUUUGCAGCAAAGUGGCGUGCAUGUAGAGCAAAGAUGGAAAGAGUACGGAGCACAACUACAACUGCUUAAUUUUGAUUUAAAUGUAAUUUAUGCACCUUUUUUCUCUUCCUCUUUUUGUUUUUAACUUCCCCAUUACUCUUUAGAUAUAUAUCAGAAUGUAUGCUGUACAUAGAACUAGCACCUAUAUGUAGUGUUUGUAGUCAUAUUAUUAACUACUAUAUCUCAUCUCAUCUAGCUUUGACUGACA